AAGGUAACGCCUGCCCAGUGAAUUUUUAAACGGCCGCGGGAUCCUCCACCGUGCAAAGGUAGCAUAAUCACUUGUCCCCUAAAUAGUGACUAGUAUGAAUGGCCAAAUGAAGAUUUAACUGUCUCCUAUAGUCAAUCUAUGAAACUAAUCUUCCAGUACAAAAACUGGAAUACUUCCAUAAGACGAAAAGACCCUGUGGAACUUAAAGCAUUAACCACCUAAUGGGACACCUGCUUUUAGUUGGGGCAACUCUGGAAAAAAACAAAACUUCCAUGAUUUAAACAAAAUAUACGUAUUUACUUUAAACUAAACUUUUUGACCCAGUCUAACUGACCAAAGAACCAAGCUACCCCAGGGAUAACAGCGCCAUCCCCUCUUAGAGCCCAAAUCGACGAGCGGGGUUUACGACCUCGAUGUUGGAUCAGGGCCCCCAAACAGUGCAACAGCUGUUAAUGGUUUGUUUGUUCAACAAUUAAUAGCCCUA
rnacentral:rRNA from 1 species